rnacentral:rRNA from 1 species
CAGCCGUAAACAAUGUGCGUUAGGUGUGUCGGUAACCACGCGUUACUGAUGCGCCGAAGAGAAAUCGUGAAACGCACCACCUGGGAAGUACGGUCGCAAGGCUGAAACUUAAAGGAAUUGGCGGGGGAGGCACCACAACAGGUGGAGCCUGCGGUUUAAUUUGGAUUCAACGCCGGACAUCUCACCGGAUAAGACAGACAUAUGAUAGUCGGGCUGAAGACUCUACUUGAUGAUCUGAGAGGAGGUGCAUGGCGGUCAGUGACU